CUUCUUUACAGUCUGUUAUAAGUAAAUUUUCUCAUAAUUACAUUUCUAACAGAUUUUAUAACAUAAAAAAAAAAUCAAACUUUUUCCUGAUUAUGCUCUAAAAUUUGAUAAACAGACGGUUAUCGGUUAUAAGCGUAUAUCGCAAAAUUUAAGUAUUUCCACCAGUUUUGUUGUGUUUAUUGACGUAAAAUUCUGUUUAUUACUUAUUUAGAGCACGAAAAACACUUUAAAGAGAGCUAAAUGUCAACACAGACAGGACAGAAACCGUAAGAUUUAUUUAAUAAUCGAACAGAAGAGCAUUUGCCGUACUUGCAAAUAAAUCAGUUAAGUUUAAACUAAAGCGCUAAACUUAUGGUUGUUUCAACGAUUCGAAUAUUAAAUUAGAGUUUAGUUGGUUAUAAUUAAUAUAGUUUGUUCGUAAUUAGCGUAAAAUUCCUGUUUGUUAGUUAUUUUAGCGCACGAAAAGUUUACUAAAAAGAGGAGAAUGAUAACAAAGACCGGACCAAAAGCAUCGCAUGCAUUCAGUAAUCGAAUAGAGAAGCAUUACUUGCAGAUAAAUCGAUUAAGUUUUAAAUUAAAGUGCUAAAUAGGUCCUAAUGAGUGGAAAUUGGACGAAGGAGAGUUUUAUGAAUGUAAUAGUUUAAUUGUUACAGUCCGCUUUAUCGAGAUUGUUAGCUUACAGUUCGGUUUUUUGCUUAUUUAGCGCACUAAAAUCGCUUGAGAUAGGAGCUAAAUGUUCACAUAGACAGGAUAGAAAACCGCAUUUAUGUAUUCUGUAAUCGAGCAAAGAAGCAUAUACUUGCAAACAAAUUUUAAACUAAAGCGCUAGAUAUUCUCAAGGUAUGCUAAACUAACAGGAAUAUAUGACAUUUCGCUUUAUCGCGUGAUUUUUUGGUAUCAAGUUCGAUUCCUUGUUUAUUUAGCGCAAAAUAAACAAUAAAUCGAACUGUUUAAUGUCAUGCCAGUGUGCGCUAAAUGCCCAUACAGGCAGGACAGUAAACAUCACAUUUAUCUAUUCGAUAAUCAAACAGAAAGAGAGAGAGAGAGAAGCAUUUACUUGCAAAUACGGUAAAUCGAUAAAGUUUGAAAAUAAAGCGCUAAACUCGAAGCAGUUCCUACCAAUCGAAAGCCAAACAAGCGGGAAUUUUGGCUUUUUAUUAAAAGAAAGAAAGAAAGGAAGGAAGAAAAAGCAAUAUAAUUAAUACAGUUUGUUCGCUUUACAUUUAAAAUAACCAAUUUUAGUGGAACAAACCAUACAUCUUGUGCAGUCGGGGGAGGGAGAAAAAGCAUCGUUGGAGUGGCUUAGCUCCACCGGUAAUUAUAUUCUAGAAUGACUCUAUUAUAAUUAGCUAACAGUAUGCGAUAGAAUCGUCUUGUUCUAUAUAGGCUAAUUUUGAUAAUACGCGAUUAUGUAUAUAGGCAUUUAUUUCUCUUUUAAAACUUAAUUGCAAAUACGGGGAAGAAGAAGAAGAAGAAGAAAAAAAA
rnacentral:lncRNA from 1 species